CCUACGGGAGGCAGCAGUGGGGNAUUUUGGACAAUGGGCGAAAGCCUGAUCCAGCCAUGCCGCGUGCAGGAUGAAGGCCUUCGGGUUGUAAACUGCUUUUGUACGGAACGAAACGGCCUUUUCUAAUAAAGAGGGCUAAUGACGGUACCGUAAGAAUAAGCACCGGCUAACUACGUGCCAGCAGCCGCGGUAAUACGUAGGGUGCAAGCGUUAAUCGGAAUUACUGGGCGUAAAGCGUGCGCAGGCGGUAAUGUAAGACAGUUGUGAAAUCCCCGGGCUCAACCUGGGAACUGCAUCUGUGACUGCAUUGCUGGAGUACGGCAGAGGGGGAUGGAAUUCCGCGUGUAGCAGUGAAAUGCGUAGAUAUGCGGAGGAACACCGAUGGCGAAGGCAAUCCCCUGGGCCUGUACUGACGCUCAUGCACGAAAGCGUGGGGAGCAAACAGGAUUAGAUACCCUGGUAGUCCACGCCCUAAACGAUGUCAACUGGUUGUUGGGUCUUCACUGACUCAGUAACGAAGCUAACGCGUGAAGUUGACCGCCUGGGGAGUACGGCCGCAAGGUUGAAACUCAAAUGAAUUGACGG
rnacentral:rRNA from 1 species